rnacentral:rRNA from 1 species
UACGGGGGGGAGCAAGCGUUGUUCGGAUUUACUGGGCGUAAAGGGCGCGUAGGCGGCCACUGCAAGUCGGUUGUGAAAUCUCCGGGCUUAACCCGGAAAGGUCAAUCGAUACUGCAGGGCUAGAGUGCGGAAGGGGCAACUGGAAUUCUCGGUGUAGCGGUGAAAUGCGUAGAUAUCGAGAGGAACACCUGCGGCGAAGGCGGGUUGCUGGGCCGACACUGACGCUGAAGUGCGAAAGCUAGGGGAGCGAACGGG